UACAGAGGGUGCAAGCGUUAAUCGGAAUUACUGGGCGUAAAGCGCGCGUAGGUGGUUUGUUAAGUUGGAUGUGAAAUCCCCGGGCUCAACCUGGGAACUGCAUCCAAAACUGGCAAGCUAGAGUAGGGCAGAGGGUGGUGGAAUUUCCUGUGUAGCGGUGAAAUGCGUAGAUAUCGGAAGGAACACCGGUGGCGAAGGCGGCUGUCUGGCCUGAUACUGACACUGAGGCACGAAAGCCAGGGGAGCAAACGGG
rnacentral:rRNA from 1 species